GUUAGUUGCCAGGGUCUGAGCCCAGCAGAGAGAGGCUGGACAUGAAAGGAUGGCACUCGGGCUUCUGCUCCUCCUCCUGGCUUCUUUCACCAUGACUUCUUUCACAUGGUGCGAUUUCUAAAACAGCCACCAAAGCAGUUGCUGCCUGGUCUAAGACCUGGAGAUAUGGUCCUCUGAAAAAGGCAUCAGAGAAAAACUGCCCUUGACUCUCAAGGAGAAAAGACUCUAUCAAGUAUUGUCAAUGAUUAACACAGUCAAACUCCAAGGUGUUGGUCUUUAGGCUUAUGUUGCUUGACUUAAAAGACGUAAGUCACUUCC